rnacentral:tRNA from 1 species
AUUCAGUUAGUAUAAGAAUUACACUUAAUUUCCAAUUAAGAGAUUUAAAAGUUAAACUGACUA